CCUCACGCAUAACCCUUUCCCCCAAAAUUCUUCCUGCCGUUCACGUGCCUUCAGCUCGCCGCCUCUAGCCACGUGGGUUUCGCCGCUGCCAGCCCCAGCUGUCGAAGGUCGUAGACCGCACGGGCCAAGCCAGUUGCCGUGCCAUCGCCUCCCUCACUGCCCAAAUCGAUCUCGCCGCAGCCUCUCUCACUGCCCAAACCCAAUCUCGCACCGCUCGCCCAAUCGAAGAGCCGCCAUUGGAGUCGCUUCGCUCGCCAGCCGGAGGAGCCAUCUGAGUCUCGCCAUGCCGCCAGCCCAGCCACCGAUCUCUGCCGGUCACUGCCUCCCUUUGCCGUCGUUCGUCGGAUUUUGGAUUGUGUUGAAAUUUUGGGCAUUACACAGGAUUAAGUUGGGUUCGCAAAUGGAUUUGAGUUUGAAACUAAUUUUGAACCAAGCAACAUUUUGAUUAAUGCAUUUGUUUGAGAGAUUGAAGACAAUUUGGAACAAACUACACUUUGGGCUUUAGAUUCAAGUUUUGAGAAGUUUUGAAUUUAGACGCGAACGACUUGAGUAUGAUUCCAACAAAAUUUUGGUGUUAGAACUUUGAGGUGAUCUUGGUCAAACCACUAUUGGGAUCUCAUUCAAAAGGUGUGGAAGGCUAGAAGGAGUUUGUUCGCUUGACUUAACUUUUGGACUUUAUUUGAGGUAAGGGUAGAGAUACACCGGCGAUGGACAAGCGGAAUUCGUGAUCGAGCCAUUGGGACUA